GUAGGUGAACCUGCGGAAGGAUCAUUAGUGAAUUUGAGUGCUUCUUUUAUGAAGGCUCGACCUCCACUUCUAACACUGUGCAUUACAAUUUGGCUCGGUUUGACUUUCAUUAGUCGGGCCGGCCUUAUUAUCUUACAAACUUCAGUUAAAGAAUGUAACAAACCUAAAACAAAAAAAAACUUUCAACAACGGAUCUCUUGGCUCUCGCAUCGAUGAAGAACGCAGCAUCUGACUGACUCGGGCAUAAGUC
rnacentral:misc_RNA from 1 species